ACGUCUCUAGCGGCAAUAAAAGAAGCAGAAAAAAAACGGACAAUCUGAAAGCCGUUUUUCGUUCUACAUCUUCUGCUCCCCUUCUCUAUUUCCAUCUCCCAAUUAAACAUGUCCGUUUCCAUAUCCCACAAACCAAAUCGGCAGGAUCUGUGGAAUCUGAACGGAUCAGAUCCGAUUGGAUUUGAUCGUAGAGCUGUUGUUCGUUUGUUGUUUACGUGCUUCAUCUCCAUUCCCGUCAACUCCACAUCUCGAUUCCGAUUUCGUUUCUCCUCAUAUCUUCAGAGUAUCUAAGUUGAUGUGGCGUCUUUGUUUUGGACAAAGUAAUCUGCUUCAAACGGUGUCAAAAUUCAAGUGGAUGAGAGUCUCUUAUUGAGCCUGAGGUUAUAGGUUGCUGGCCAGUGAAGUCUUGAAUAAAUAACUUUUGGGAGUUCAAGGUUUUGAACUUUAAUAAUAUCUUUCUUUACAUUAUAUAGUGUUUUCAAAUGGAGUGCACCCAAGAAUGAGAUACAAGAUUUUCUGUUGCCGUGUGUUCUGCAGUUCGGCAACAUAGGCAUGCAAGAUUGUUUAGGAGAUUUAAGUUACAACUUACAACAACAUAGAUUAAGAAGGACCAUUUUGGGGAUCGCCGUUGAGCAGAGGUUUAAAUUUGCUAGGUAUAAGAGAAGUAUUUCUGAGGCAAAUAAGGUCUGGUCGUGCCCUUCAUUUUGGAGAGAGGGAAAGGGACAUUCUUGAGAUGAUAUUGGAAAUGGCUUUUCAUGGAUUGAGUGGAUGGUCGUGUCUUGGAUGUUUGCUG